rnacentral:tRNA from 1 species
GGGGAGGUGGCUCAGUGGUUAAGAGCACUGACUGCUCUUCCAGAGGUCUUGAGUUCAAAUCCCAGCAACCACA